rnacentral:SRP_RNA from 1 species
CGCUGGGUCCUACGCAACGGGCGGUCCCGAACCCCGCCAGGUCCGGAAGGAAGCAACGGUAGGGGCUUAGCUCGUGUGUUGUAGGGUGCCCGGCGGCC